rnacentral:rRNA from 1 species
AACGAACGCUGGCGGCAGGCCUAACACAUGCAAGUCGAACGCAUCCUUCGGGGUGAGUGGCAGACGGGUGAGUAACGCGUGGGAACCUACCUUGUGGUACGGAACAACCAAGGGAAACUUUGGCUAAUACCGUAUGAGCCCGAGAGGGGAAAGAUUCAUCGCCAUGAGAUGGGCCCGCGUAGGAUUAGCUAGUUGGUGGGGUAAAGGCCUACCAAGGCGACGAUCCUUAGCUGGUCUGAGAGGAUGACCAGCCACACUGGGACUGAGACACGGCCCAGACUCCUACGGGAGGCAGCAGUGGGGAAUAUUGGACAAUGGGCGAAAGCCUGAUCCAGCAAUGCCGCGUGAGUGAUGAAGGCCUUAGGGUUGUAAAGCUCUUUUACCCGGGAUGAUAAUGACAGUACCGGGAGAAUAAGCCCCGGCUAACUCCGUGCCAGCCGCCGCAGUAAGAC